rnacentral:rRNA from 1 species
UACGGGGGGGGCAAGCGUUGUUCGGAAUUACUGGGCGUAAAGGCUCGUAGGCGGCCAACUAAGUCAGACGUGAAAUCCCCUCGGCUUAACCGGGGAACUGCGUCUGAUACUGGAUGGCUUGAGAUUGGGAGAGGGAUGCGGAAUUCCAGGUGUAGCGGUGAAAUGCGUAGAUAUCUGGAGGAACACCGGUGGCGAAGGCGGCAUCCUGGACCAACACUGACGCUGAGGAGCGAAAGCCAGGGGAGCAAACGGG